rnacentral:rRNA from 1 species
CCUACGGGAGGCAGCAGUGGGGAAUUUUGGACAAUGGGCGCAAGCCUGAUCCAGCAAUGCCGCGUGAGUGAAGAAGGCCUUCGGGUUGUAAAGCUCUUUUGUCAGGGAAGAAACGGUGGGGGCUAAUAUCCUCCACUAAUGACGGUACCUGAAGAAUAAGCACCGGCUAACUACGUGCCAGCAGCCGCGGUAAUACGUAGGGUGCAAGCGUUAAUCGGAAUUACUGGGCGUAAAGCGUGCGCAGGCGGUUUUGUAAGUUUGUCGUGAAAUCCCCGGGCUCAACCUGGGAAUGGCGAUGAAGACUGCAAGGCUAGAAUCUGGCAGAGGGGGGUAGAAUUCCACGUGUAGCAGUGAAAUGCGUAGAGAUGUGGAGGAACACCGAUGGCGAAGGCAGCCCCCUGGGUCAAGAUUGACGCUCAUGCACGAAAGCGUGGGGAGCAAACAGGAUUAGAUACCCUGGUAGUCCACGCCCUAAACGAUGUCUACUAGUUGUCGGGUUUUAAUUAACUUGGUAACGCAGCUAACGCGUGAAGUAGACCGCCUGGGGAGUACGGUCGCAAGAUUAAAACUCAAAGGAAUUGACCGGCUGAGACGUCGACGACGACGACGACGGAGGAGAG